rnacentral:rRNA from 2 species
AAAUUGAAGAGUUUGAUCAUGGCUCAGAUUGAACGCUGGCGGCAGGCCUAACACAUGCAAGUCGAACGGUAACAGGAAGCAGCUUGCUGCUUCGCUGACGAGUGGCGGACGGGUGAGUAAUGUCUGGGAAACUGCCUGAUGGAGGGGGAUAACUACUGGAAACGGUAG